rnacentral:tRNA from 1 species
UGUAAAUAUAAUUUAACUAAAAUACUAGAUUGUGAACCUAGACAUAGAAGCCUACCGCUUCUUAUUUACC